rnacentral:rRNA from 1 species
CCUACGGGAGGCAGCAGUGGGGAAUAUUGGACAAUGGGCGAAAGCCUGAUCCAGCAAUGCCGCGUGAGUGAUGAAGGCCUUCGGGUCGUAAAGCUCUUUUACCAGGGAUGAUAAUGACAGUACCUGGAGAAUAAGCUCCGGCUAACUCCGUGCCAGCAGCCGCGGUAAUACGGAGGGAGCUAGCGUUGUUCGGAAUUACUGGGCGUAAAGAGUACGUAGGCGGUUAUUCAAGUCAGAGGUGAAAGCCCGGGGCUCAACCCCGGAACUGCCUUUGAAACUAGAUAACUAGAGUCUUGGAGAGGUUAGUGGAAUUCCGAGUGUAGAGGUGAAAUUCGUAGAUAUUCGGAAGAACACCAGUGGCGAAGGCGACUAACUGGACAAGUACUGACGCUGAGGUACGAAAGCGUGGGGAGCAAACAGGAUUAGAUACCCUGGUAGUCCACGCCGUAAACGAUGAUAACUAGUUGUUCGGUCACUUGGUGACUGAGUGACGCAGCUAACGCAUUAAGUUAUCCGCCUGGGGAGUACGGUCGCAAGAUUAAAAACUCAAAAGAUAAUAGACGNNGAGAGCGACGAGACACACGGAGGUAGAG